CCUACGGGAGGCAGCAGUGGGGAAUAUUGGACAAUGGGCGAAAGCCUGAUCCAGCAAUGCCGCGUGAGUGAUGAAGGCCUUAGGGUUGUAAAGCUCUUUUACCAGGGAUGAUAAUGACAGUACCUGGAGAAUAAGCUCCGGCUAACUCCGUGCCAGCAGCCGCGGUAAUACGGAGGGAGCUAGCGUUGUUCGGAAUUACUGGGCGUAAAGCGUGCGUAGGCGGCGAUUCAAGUCAGAGGUGAAAGCCUGGAGCUCAACUCCAGAACUGCCUUUGAAACUAGAUUGCUAGAAUCUUGGAGAGGUCAGUGGAAUUCCGAGUGUAGAGGUGAAAUUCGUAGAUAUUCGGAAGAACACCAGUGGCGAAGGCGACUGACUGGACAAGUAUUGACGCUGAGGUACGAAAGCGUGGGGAGCAAACAGGAUUAGAUACCCUGGUAGUCCACGCUGUAAACGAUGAUAACUAGCUGUCCGGGCUCUCAGAACUUGGGUGGCGCNGCUACGCAUUAAGUUAUCCGCCGUCGGGUAGGUACGGUCGCGAGAUAAACUACAAUAGAGUAGACGCGUGAGAGUGCGACGGACGACGACGAGGGAGGAGG
rnacentral:rRNA from 1 species